UACGUAGGGUGCAAGCGUUAAUCGGAAUUACUGGGCGUAAAGCGUGCGCAGGCGGCUUUGCAAGACAGAUGUGAAAUCCCCGGGCUUAACCUGGGAACUGCAUUUGUGACUGCAUGGCUGGAGUGCGGCAGAGGGGGAUGGAAUUCCGCGUGUAGCAGUGAAAUGCGUAGAUAUCGGGAAGAACACCCGUGGCGAAGGCGGUUCUCUGGGACGGUACUGACGCUGAGACGCGAAAGCGUGGGGAGCAAACGGG
rnacentral:rRNA from 1 species